AGCAAUUUCAGCAAGUUGGGGUAUAUCCGAAUGUGAAUUUAGAGUAGUCUCUCCAACCUUCUUCUUGAACAAAUUAAUAGCCUCAUCUUCUGUCAAACACUCCACCUUAAGGCUUUUUUGAGCUUCCAUAUCCCGACAAACAUCCAGAGAACGGGUUGUUAAUAUUACUUAGGACUUGUUUUGGGAAUUAGGAGAAGGAACCCCCACUUUUUGGAGAUCAAGCCGCUCCCAUACAUCAUCUAGCAGCAUCACAAAUCUUUUUGCCUUCAAGACAUUGAAAAUUUCUACUGCUUUUUCAUCCUCGGUUCUGUUUCUCCAUCUGUCUUCAGGAAUGUCUAACUUGUUGUGAAUGACUUCUUGUACUUUUUCCAUACUUGCUGGCCUGGAUACUACUACCCAAAUGGCGAUUUCAAAGAUCUUGCUCACUCUGAUGAACUCAUUAUUGACUUUGGUCAUGAGGGUAGUUUUCCCGGCACCCCCCAUUCCGUACAACCCAAUAAUUCCCAGCUCCUCGUCUUGGAUGCAUCUGCAAACCUCUGUAAACAUCAUAUCUAAGCCCACAGUCUUCUCCAUCGGCCUCUCAUCCACCGGAGCUUGAGGUAACUUAUCAGCCACAACAUCAAAGCGUCCCUUGUUCCUUAAUUCAGUCACAGCACCCAGCUUUUUACUCGCUUUCUUCCCAACCUUGUAGCUGGACCAGCAGUUUCUGGGACAACAAGUUCUAGGGCAUUUCUUCUGGAUUUCCUGAUCGCCUUUCUCCAGGAUCUCGUUGACUUCUAGUUCCAUGGCUAGUACGCUAUGGAGCCAGCCGUCCACUUCAUUUGUGCGCUUCAUUUGCCGUUGAUCUUCAAGUUCAACUCUUCCCUUCACAUCCUGGUAUGCGCUCUUCAGCUCCUGCGUUGCGUUUCUUAACGAGUCCAUAUUUUCCUGCAGAUCCCUGAUGUAGACUGCAUGCUUGGCUGUGCAGUUCCAUACGCGAGUGACAACAUCCAAGAUUGGGCUCACACAAUCCAUUCCUUGUCUUGAGAGAUGAAAUUCAACGAAAAAACAGAAAAUGGAGGGAUGGGUUUUGUGGGAGAGCAGCAGACUUUUUUUUUUUUUUUUGUGUCAAAACAGUUCUCUCUCUCAAUGAGGAGACUUCUAUGGUUCCAUGCACGCGGUAGGUACCGAAGCGUGAAUUCCCACCGUUGGAUAAGUAAAUCCAAUCAAGACCGUCUAUUUGAUUUUACAAAGGGAGGAAUCGUGACAGAAUAUAUAUCGUGAGAGGGACAGCAAUAAUAUUAGUAUUUAAUUUCUUAUUCAUCAAAGCUGAAUAAAAAGGGUUAAGAAAUUAAUGCAUGGAUACAUUUCUCAUUUUAAUUUUUAAAAACAAUUUUAUUUUUCAUUUUAUAAAAAGUAGGUACAUAGCUUGUGUAGUUGAAAAUAUUUUUUUUAAAUUUAAGAAAGUAAAAAUUUUUCACAUUUUAAAUUUUGAGAAAUUUUUUGAACAACAAAAUGGUAAAUAUUUUAUAUAAGAAUUAUUGGUUUUAAAAGUAAAGAAUAAAAAGUGUAUCUAAUGAAUGCUCUAAACCAAUCAAUACUUACAAUUUGGGGGUUUUUUUAUAGGAGAAAAACCAUAACAUAAAAAGUAAUUUUAAAAUUACAACAUUUUUUAAUUUCAAGUAGGCUUCGUCUUUUACACAGACGAAUUUAGUGUAAAAGUGAACUCGUCUUUCAAAAAAUAAGUUCAAUAUAAAUGAACUCAUUUUUUCAAAAAACGAAUUUAAUAUAAAAAGUUUUAAGGUAAAAACAGAAUUCGUGUUUUGAAAAAACGAAUUCGGUACAAAAAGUGAAUUUGUCUUUUAAAAAGAAAAAAAAAGAGUUUAGUGCAAAAAUAAAAGAAAUAAUGAAAAAUAUUAUAUUUGUAUAUUUAUUUUUUAAAUAAUUAUAUUUUAAAGAUAUAUUUUUUAAAGAAUAUUUUAAAAAUAAAUAAAAAUCACGUGGGUAGUCUUGGGUAUUGGCGCCACAAUCUGUCAUGGAACUAAAAAAGAAAUCUUUUUUGCUGUCCAAGACACAGAAAGAAGAAAAGAUAAUAGAAUAAGUGAUGAGUUGCUCGAGCGAUGGUUUGCCCAAAUUUCAAUCCACUAAAGGUUCCUUUUUAUAUGGCCAUUUGCAGAUUCAUUAAGUCUCUAUUUCAAAUUUAUUAUUUCUAAUUACGGAUUCUGCUUCAACUAUCAUAUUUAAUUAAUUAUUAAUUAUUAAUUAUUUGUUGGAGUUUUGGUCUCAAUAUCAAGUUUUAUGAAUACAUUUUUUAAAAGUAUAAAUAAAUUUAUUGAGAUGAGUAAUGCUUGAGGCAAGAAAAAAAAAUAUAUAUGAACAUGAACACCCAGGAGACAUUCGAAAACUUGUCCAGACAAGUAAAAAGAGAGAAAGACAAAAAAGAAAGAAGAAAAAACUAGAGAGUGCCUGAGAGAGCAUGGGAGAAGAGGGUAUUGAGGUGGGAGAAGGAGCUGGAGCAACUUCUCUACCAUCCUCUCGUUUCUUCACCAGAUAAUGAAGUAAGGAGUGAAAGUGUGCUGAAUGGUUUCAUUUUCCCACUUCAACCCCUCCCACCACUCUGAUUCCCCUAUAAUGGUCUUUAAACUGUUUCUUGCACUGUUUGAAUCUAAUGGCAACUUCCUUAGGUUUGGGCAUUCUUCCACUGAUAGGUACGUCAAGGAAGGAAAUGACAAGGCACGACCACUGAUACUCUUUAGAUUUGGUAGAUAAUUCAAGUUCAAACUUUUGAGUCUUGAGAAUAUGCCAAUGUUUUUUGAGAUUCCACUUGCAUCACCUAUCACUUCUUCCAUGGAUUCACAUGUGCUUGCUACAAGAAAUUCAAGUCUUGGGAUGUAAAUAAGCCAUGCCAAGUCCAACAACUUUGGAAGUUGAUAAACAAUUACCACGCGAAGGCUCUGAAAGUUUGAGUUUGGGAUUAGAUCAACUACAAACCCUUGCCCUGUUCCCUUCUUUUCUAGAUCUACUUUUAUCUCUUGCAAUUCUCCACAUCUAGAUAUUCCAAGGAGUUGUAGAUGUUUCAUUCUAGGCAAUUGGAGAAAGCUCAUAUCUUCCAAGUUCCCAAGGCCUAAACGCCUUAUAGCAUUUUGCAAUUUUUGAGAGCUUCGUAACUUUUGAAAGGACAGAGGACCUACGAUUGGAAAAGAUACCCAAUUUAAAUAUGUAUUCCAACCCUUCCAGAUCUUCUAAUAAUGCUUUAUUAUCCUCCCAUAAAUAAAUAGCUUUAGAAUUCUCCUCUGAAUAAUUGGGUUCCUCCUCCUUGGGUGAAUGAUUGCCUUUUUCUUCCUCCAGUAAAUGAUUAAGUCCCAUGCUAAAAUAUCUCAUUAUUAAGAGAUUCGAUAUCACUUCCUUGGAAAUUAUUUUGAGAUAUGACAUGCUAUGUAAUAGCAAAUAUCUUAUUCUUUUCAAAGUCUUAAGCUCAGCAGACAAUUCUCUUAGAUUUGUCCCUGACAAAUCGAGAUAUUGUAGUGUUACUAAUUUACCAAUUCCAACAGGUAAUUCAGUUAUUUGAGUAAAUGACAAAUCCAAAACUUUUAUAAAUGAAAUGGAAGAAUCCACUUGGAAAAGUCUCCAGGGUGUUCUCCUAACAAUUAAAGUCAAGAGAUUGGGAAAAGAUGGUGGUAUGAUGAGUUCUUUCAAGCUACUCAUCGACAAGGAUAUACAUUGUGCCUCUUUCCACUUUGAAACUUGGUGAGCUUCCAUGAUAUCAUUUUCUUCUACCAAAAUUUUGUUCUUGUUGCCACUAUAUACUGUAGCUAACCACAAAGCCAUAGCACGAAUAACAUCAUGCAUCUUGACUUGAUCAAAUCCAACGCUCUCCAAUAAACAUGUUGUCUUUAGAUGCUCAAUGAUAUCGUGCCCUUGGUUAUAUGCUUCAGCUAUGUUGUUGAAUUCAUCCAAAAACCCUUCUCCAAUCCAAAGAAAUAUAAGAUCAUCAUCUAUAAUUUCAUAGUCCUCUAGGAAUAUGGCAAGAUAUAAAAAACAAGCCCUGAUGGUGUCAUUUGGCAAGUUAUCAUAACUGAAUUUCAGGACCGGAAAUACAUGAUCUCCCAUACCUGAAAACUUUGAUGGAUAAGUCUUCAAUAUUUGUAUUGCUCGCUCCCAUUCUCGUGGUGUGUUCUUGCCGGUCAUAGCUCGCCCAAUUGUAACGAGUGCAAGUGGUAGACCUUUGCACUCUUUAGCAGAAAUUUCAGCGAGUUGUGGUAUAUCUGGAUGUGAAUUUAGAGUAGUCUCUCCAACCUUCUUCUUGAACAAAUUAAUAGCCUCCCCUUGUGUCAAACACUCCACCUUAAUACUUUUUUGAGCUUCCAUAUAUAUCACGACAAACAUCCAGAGAUCGGGUUGUUAAUAUUACUUCAGACUUGUUUUGGGAAUUAGGAGAAGGAACCCCCAACUUUUGGAGAUCAAGUCGUUCCCAUACAUCAUCUAACAACAACACAAACCUUUUCGCCUUCAAGACAUUGAAAAUUUCUACUGCUUUCUCGUCCUCACUUCUAUUUCUCCAUCUAUUAUCCGGGAUGUCUAAUUUGUUGCGAAUGACUUCCUGUACUUUUCCCACACUUGCGAGCCUGGACACUACAACCCAAAUGGUGAUUUCAAAGCCCUUGCUUGCUCUGAUGAAUUCAUUAUUCACUUUGGUCAUAAGGGUAGUUUUCCCGUCACCACCCAUACCAUACAACCCAAAUAAUUCCCAGUUGUUCAUAUUGGAUGCAUCUGCAAACCUCUGUAUAAUGUUGAGCUUUGUGGAGCCUAGUUUUAUUUGAUCCGAUUUGACGACCCGACCCGAAUAAUAUUGCAUGGCUUUUUAAUGGGAGAUUUACUGAGGCCUGUUGGGUCCAUUUAACCCAUUGUGGAACCAUCUUUUGUAAUUAGGGUUUUUUAGUGUGGUGUGGUUGCCGUGUUAUAUAUAGAGAGAAAAUAUUGUAGUCGUCGUGGUUGUACUUUGUAUUCUUCCCUGAUAAUAGUGAUAUCCCUGCAACUCUGUGAAUGUAGGCAUAUUGCCGAACCACGUAAUACUAUCUUAUGCGUGUGAUUGUUUUUCUUUGGCGUGUGUUUUUCUCUAUUUUUUGUUUCUCACAGGUUGGGAAUUCAGUUUAAUUCUCUACAACUGGUAUUAGAGCCUAGGGUUAGGUUUGAGUGGGAGCAAUGGCAGAGGAAGCAGGAAAGGCGUCUGGAAUAGAAAAGUUUGAUGGCACAGACUUUGCGUAUUGGAGGAUGCAAAUUGAAGAUUAUCUCUAUAGGAGGAAAUUGCAUCUACCUCUUUUGGGGACAAAACUUGAGAGUAUGAAGGCUAAGGAAUGGGCGCUUCUUGAUAGACAGGUUCUAGGAGUUAUUAGGUUAACUCUGUCUAGGUCUGUUGCACAUAAUGUUGUAAAGGAGAAGACCACAACAGAUUUGAUCAAGGCUUUGUCCGGUAUGUAUGAAAAGCCGUCCGUAAACAAUAAGGUGCAUCUAAUGAAGAAAUUGUUCCAUUUGAAGAUGGUAGAGAAUACAUCAGUAGCACAACAUCUGAAUGGAUUUAAUAUAAUCACAAAUCAAUUGUCGUCUGUAGAAAUUGAUUUUGAUGAUGAGAUUCGUGCUCUGAUCAUUUUGGCUUCUUUGCCAAACAGUUGGGAGGCAAUGAGGAUGGCAGUAAGCAAUUCUACGGGAAAGGAAAAGCUCAAGUACAAUGAUAUACGAGAUUUAAUUCUGGCUGAGGAGAUUCGCCGAAGAGAUGCAGGUGAAACCUCAGGAUCUAGUUCUGCCCUAAACCUUGAGACAAGAGGCAAAGGUAAUGAUAGAAAUUCAAAUCGGGGUAGAUCAAAUUCUAGAAAUUCUAAUCGGAACAGAAGCAAAUCUAGAUCAUGCCAACAAGUACAAUGCUGGAAUUGUGGGAAAAUAGGUCACUUUAGAAGGCAAUGCAAAAGUCCUAAGAAGAAGAAUGGAGAUGAUUCUGCUAAUGCUGUAACAGAAGAGGUACAAGAUGCAUUACUUAUUGCAAUAGAUAGUUCACUUGAUGAUUGGGUUUUGGAUGUAGGAGCUUCGUUUCAUACCACUCCACACCGAGAAAUCAUACAGAAUUAUGUUGCAGGUGAUUUUGGUAAGGUGCAUUUGGCUGAUGGUUCAGCCUUGGAUGUUGUGGGUCUGGGAGACGUUCGGAUAUCGUUGCCCAAUGAGUCUGUUUGGUUACUGGAGAAGUUUCGACAUAUUCCUGACCUGAGGAGGAAUCUGAUUUCUAUUGGACAACUUGAUGAAGGACAUGCAAUACUAUUUGUUGGUGGUACUUGGAAGGUUACAAAGGGAGCUAGGGUAUUGGCUCGUGGAAAGAAGACUGGUACUCUGUACAUAACCUCAUGUCCAAGAGACACAAUUGCAGUUGCUGAUACAAGUACUGAUACAAGCCUAUGGCACCGCAGACUUGGUCACAUGAGUGAGAAAGGGAUGAAGAUGUUGCUGUCAAAAGAAAAACUACUAGAAUUGAAGUCCAUUGAUUUUGACAUGUGUGAAAGUUGCAUCUUAGGAAAGCAAAAAAAGGUGAGCUUCUUGAAAACUGGCAGGACACCGAAGGCUGAAAAAUUGGAAUUAGUACACACUGAUUUGUGGGGGCCUUCUCCGGUUACAUCCCUAGGAGGUUCAAGGUACUACAUCACUUUUAUUGAUGACUCAAGUAGAAAGGUAUGGGUUUAUUUUCUGAAAAAUAAAUCUGAUGUAUUUGAAACUUUUAAGAAGUGGAAGGCCAUGGUUGAGACAGAAACAUGUUUGAAAGUAAAAUGUUUGAGGUCAGAUAAUGGAGGAGAGUACAUAGAUGGAAGGUUCAGUGAGUAUUGUGCUGCACAAGGAAUUAGGAUGGAGAAGACCAUUCCUAGGACACCACAACAAAAUGGUGUGGCUGAGCGCAUGAACAGAACUCUCAAUGAGCGUGCUAGAAAUAUGAGGUUGCAUGUUGGAUUACCAAAAACUUUUUGGGCUGAUGCUGUUAGCACUACAACUUACCUGAUAAACUGAGGACUAUUAGUUCUCAUGGAGUUCAGACUUCCUGAGGAGGUUUGGAGCGGUAAAGAGGUGAAGUUUUCACAUUUAAAAGUUUUUUGUUGUGUUUCUUAUGUUCAUAUUGAUUCUGAUGCUCGUAGUAAACUUGAUGCAAAGUCAAAAAUAUGUUUUUUCAUUGGCUAUGGUGAUGAGAAAUUUGGCUAUAGGUUUUGGGAUGAACAAAAUAGGAAAAUCAUCAGAAGUAGAAAUGUGAUAUUUAAUGAACACGUUAUGUACAAGGAUAGGUCAACUGUAGUGUCAGAUGUUACAAAAAUAAAUCAAAAGAAAUCUGAGUUUGUCAACUUAGAUGAAUUGACUGAAAGUACUGUCCAAAAAUGGGAUGAAGAAGAUAAGGAGAAUGUAAAUUCACAGGUAGAUCUAAGUACACCUGUAGCUGAAGUUCGCAGAUCUUCCAGGAACAUUAUACCUCCGCAACGUUAUUCACCUGUUUUAAAUUAUCUCCUGUUGACUGAUGGUGGUGAGCCAGAGUGUUAUGAUGAAGCCUUGCAAGAUGAGAAUUCAAGCAAAUUGGAGUUAGCCAUGAAGGAUGAGAUGGAUUCCUUAUUGGGGAAUCAGACAUGGGAACUGACUGAAUUGCCAGUAGGAAAGAAGGCUUUGCACAACAAGUGGGUAUACAGAAUAAAGAAUGAGCAUGAUGGUAGCAAGCAUUACAAGGCCAGAUUAGUUGUUAAAGGGUUCCAACAGAAGGAGAGCAUUGACUACACAGAGGUAUUUUCUCCAGUUGUGAAGAUGUCAACAAUUAGACUUGUACUUGGAAUGGUGGCUGCAGAAAACUUACAUCCUAAGCAGUUAGAUGUGAAGACAGCAUUCCUUCAUGGUGACUUAGAGGAAGACCUUUACAUGAUUCAGCCAGAAGGGUUCAUUGUUCAGGGACAAGAGAAUCUAGUCUGCAAACUAAGAAAGAGCUUGUAUGGCCUUAAACAAGCUCCUAGACAGUGAUACAAGAAGUUUGACAAUUUUAUGCAUAGAAUUGGGUUCAAGAAAUGUGAAGCUGAUCACUGUUGCUAUGUUAAGUCCUUUGACAAUUCUUACAUCAUAUUACUGUUGUAUGUGGAUGAUAUGUUUAUUGUAGGGUUUGACAUUGAGAAGAUUAAUAAUCUAAAGAAGCAAUUGUCCAAACAGUUUGCAAUGAAAGAUUUGGGAGCUGCAAAGCAAAUCCUUGAUAUGAGAAUCGUUAGAGACAAGACUAAUGGUACAUUGAAGCUUUCACAGUCAAAGUAUGUGAAGAAAGUUCUCAGCAGGUUCAACAUGAAUGAAGCUAAACCAGUGAGCACACCCUUGGGUAGUCAUUUCAAACUAAGCAAAGAACAGUCACCAAAGACAGAAGAAGAAAGGGAUCGUAUGAGCAAGGUGCCCUAUGCCUCAGCUAUUGGCAGCUUGAUGUAUGUUAUGGUGUGUACAAGGCCAGACAUUGCACAUACAGUGGGAGUUGUGAGCAGAUUCAUGAGUAGGCCUGGAAAGCAGCAUUGGGAGGCAGUCAAGUAGAUUCUAAGAUAUCUGAAGGGUUCAUUAGAUACAUGUUUUUGCUUCACAGGUGCAAGUUUGAAAUUGCAGGGUUAUGUAGAUGUUGAUUUUGUUGGUGAUAUUGAUAAUAGAAAGAGUACUACUGGGUUUGUUUUUACUCUAGGUGGUACAACUAUAUCAUGGGCUUCAAAUCUACAGAAGAUUGUUACUUUGUCUACUACAGAAGCUGAGUAUGUUGCAACAACUGAAGCUGGAAAGGAGAUGAUUUGGCUGCAUGGUUUCUUAGAUGAAUUGGGUAAGAAGUAGGAGAUGGGCAUUUUACAUAGUGACAGUCAGAGUGCAAUUUUUCAUGCCAAAAAUUCAGCUUUUCAUUCAAAGUCGAAGCAUAUACAAACAAAAUACCACUUUAUUCGUUAUCUUAUUGAAGAUAAACUGGUAAUACUUGAGAAGAUUUAUGGAUCUAAGAACCCGGCAGACAUGUUGACUAAGGGUGUCACUAUUGAGAAGUUGAAGCUGUGCGCAACUUCAAUUGGUCUUCUAGCUUGAGGACAGGAGCAUAAGUUGCAGGGAUGAGGGAUUGUUUCUUGGAGGAUAGCGGUUUGAUGUUGGUGAUUGAACUAGUCUCCAAGUGGGAGAUUUGUUGGGCUUUGUGGAGCCUAGUUUUGUUUGAUCCGGUUUGACGACCCGACCCAAAUAAUAUUGCAUGACUUUUUAAUGGGAGAUUUACUGAGGCCUGUUGGGCCUGUUUAGCCCAUUGUGGAACCACCUUUUGUAAUUAGGGUUUUUUAGUGUGGUGUGGUUGUCGUAUUAUAUAUAGAGAGAAAAUAUUGUAGCCGUCAUGGUUGUACUCUGUAUUCUUCCCUGAUAAUAGUGAUAUCCCUGUAACUCCGUGGACGUAGGCAUAUUGCCGAACCAUGUAAAUAUUGUCUUAUGCGUGUGAUUGUUUUUCUUUGGCGUGUGUUUUUCUCUAUUUUUUGUUUCUCAUAGAUUGAGAAUUCAGUUUAAUUCUCUACACAUACAUCAGAUCUAGGCCCACAGUCUUCUUCACCGGCCUCUCAUCCACUGGAGCUUGAGCUAACCUCUCUGCCACAACAUCAAAGCGUCCUUUGUUCCUUAAUUCAGUCACAACACCCAGCUUUUUACUCGCUUUCUCCCCGAGCUUGUAGCUAGACCGUCCAUUUCUAGGGCAACAAGUUCCAGGGCAUUUCUUCUGGAUUUCCUGAUAGCCUUUUUGUAGGAUCUCGUUGACUUCUAUUUCCAUGACUUGUACACUAUGAAGCCAGCCAUCCACUUCAUUGGUGCGCCUCAUUUGUCGUUGCUCUUCAAGAUCGACUCUUCCCUUCACAUCUUCAUGUACAUUCUUCAGCUCCUGCAUUGCAUUUCUCAAAGAGUUCAUAUUUUCCUGUAGAUCCUGGAUGUAGCUGACAUGCUUGGCUGUGCAAUUCCAUACGCGAGUGACAACAUCCAAGAUUGGGCUCACACAGUCCAUUCCCUGUGUUGAGAGAUGAAAUUCAAACAGGACAAACAUGAGAUUAUAAUAGGCAGUCUACACACGAUUAAAGUCAUUUGGCCACUGCUUCCCCUUCACAUUUUGGUUGCGAUUAGUCUGGGUUUUAACAUUUCAAUUAGGAAUUGGUUAACUUGCUUAUGGCUUUAAAUUCAAAAUUAAUUUGCAAAUAUAUAGAAUAUAUUGAAAUUUUUAACAUAAUCCAAGUAGAAAGAAAACUUCAGCUUUGGAUGAGAGAAUUUAUGAAUGCUUCCGAAAUUACCCCUUGUUUUUGCUGUCUAAUGGAAGAAUCUUGCUUGCAACCCAAAUGCAGAGGAGAUAAUGCUGGAAAUCACUUUGGAAUCUUCUUAAGAAUAUGCAAAGAGGGAACGAGAGAGACAAAAAUAAUAUAAAUGUUUAAACAUGACCUAGUCAUCUCAUGGGUGGGGGAAUCCAAAAGGAAGAAAGAGAGAAUCAAAUUGAAAAGGAAAUGGACAAGAAGAAAGAUAAUCAAAACCGAUGAAGUAAUCAAAAAGAAGAAAGAGAAUCAAAACUGAUGGAAUAAUUAGAAAGGAGAAUGAGAAUCAAAUCAAGAAGGAAAUGAACAUGAAGAAGCAUAAUCAAAAUCAAAAUCAAACCAAAUGAAAAGAAUUAAGAAAAGGUUAAAUAUGCUUUACCCUGUUGUCGCGUUUUUCACUUUGUUUUCUUAUGUUCAAAAUCCAAUACUUUACUCCUAAAUUUGUUAAAGAGUAACAGUUUGCCCCAAAUUAAUGACUCUAUAAAAUUAGAAAAGAGAUUAAUCUUUUUUGCACCCUAUUUCGACCAUAAGUACAAUCUUAAAUUGAACCAAUUUUCAAUUAACAACUAUAAAAUGGAAUUUUUGAAACACUUUAAAAAUAUGAUUGCGACUAAUUUUGAUUUUUUAUUUUGAGAAAUGUUAGUAUGAUUAUUUGUCAUUUUUGUAUGCAUUUGCGAAGUAUAACAACUUGAAAUUUUGGAUAGAAUGUAUUUUUUUUUUUACUUUUAUUUUUACAUUUUAGCCUUGUUUCUUUAUUUAACAAGUUGUUUAUUGAAUUCUUAACAAGUUUGAAGAGUAAAGUAUUAUUCUAUAAUAAGUUUUAUAAACAAAGUAUUAAGUUUUAUACGUGAUGGAGUGUAGAACACUUUAAAGUCUGUGGUAAAAUGUAUUUAACCCAUUAAAAAAUUAGUGCAUGUUAAGAUGUAUUUAUCAUUUUUAUUUUUUAUUUUUUGAAUAGAAAGUUUUAUAUAAAACGUAAGUACAUAGCUAGAGUAGCUGAAAAUAUUUUUAAAAAUUUAGGAAAGUAUUCCCCAAUUUUUUAAAUUUUGAAAAAAGUUUUUACAUUUUUUAAAAUUUUUAUAUAAGAAAGUAAAAAAUUAUAGUAAAUUUUGGUGCUUUUUUUUUUUUUUCCUUUGUGUAUGAAUUGUUAUACUUUGGUGAAUGCUCCGAACGAGCAUCACUAUUUGGACAGUCUGGGUGACGGGCUACAAUCUGUCAUGGCCAGUAAAAAAUAUCAUUGGUUUUAUGUUUCCAUUUCUUUUUCUUUGCUCCUUACAAAGAGAAUAGAAUAAGUGAUGAGUUGUCAAGGGAGGUUUGCUCAAAUCUCUAUCUACUUAUUUUCAUGGACGACAUAUUCUUGUUAAGGUUUUGACUUCUCUCUUCCACAAGCUAUUCUGCUUCAUCUCUCGAUCUAAAACUUUUGAUCUACUGUACUAAUUCAUAUUUUUUGAGAACAUAGACUAAAACCCGUCUAAAUUAUUUUAUUUUAAAAACAGGUUUAGGAAAGUAUUACCAAAAAUUUGUUUCAAAAACUAAUGAGUGUAACAAAUAUACAAGAGAUUUUCUCACUCAACUUUACACACAAUACAAGCAUGAAAGGAUUUUCUUUUUCUUUUUCUUUUUAGAUGAUUAUUUUGCAAUCCAUCCUAUGCACAUGUAGCGUCCAAUAAUUCAACAUUUACAAGAAGUUUCAGUUGAGUCAAAUGUUCAUCAAAAACUUGUCCUACAAAAGCAAGAGAGCAAAUCAAUUGGGACAUUUGUCUACUAUUUAAAUCAUAGAACAAAUUUGCUUCUAUGAAUAUGAGAAAGAACUUCAUUUCUUUCUUAAAUUUAUACAAUAAUGAAGUUAAUCUAAAAAUUGUCAUGAACAAUAUUUUAUUAACAUCAUCAACCAAAAUUUUUUCUCAAUCAUUGCAAUAGAUAUGGAAAUGUAAAGAAAUUAAGUUAAAUUUGAUUUGAUAUUUAUAAUUAGGCCAUAAACAAAGAAUUAAUCUAAAUUUGUUGGUCGGAGUUGAAUGCUGGAGCUAAAAUAAUAUAAAUGAAGUUUAAAAUAAAAAGUUAAGUUCAUUUGCCUUUCAUGAAGUUUUAGAUAAAUACACUUAACUCUCAUUGAUCUGAAAUUUUAUCAAAUAUCUAUUUUUAUUCGCCUCCUCUUUUACUAAGAAUAAAAGAGGUAUUUAAUGAAAUUCUAAACAAAUGACAUUUAUGUGUAUUAAGCCAAAAUCCAAUGGGAGGUAAGUGAAGUUAACUUUUAAAAUAAAUUCAUUAUUAACGACUUUAUGACUAAAUUAAAAAAAAAAUUGUAAUACUUUUUCACAGUUUAAGUUCCUUUGUGUAAAAUAAUUUUGAAAAUAAACAUAUAUGAAACAAUUUUGAAAAUUUUUUAUUGAAAAAUUCAAGAGACAAAAAAAUUAGGGUCUAUUUGAUUGCUGUUUUUGAAAACUGUUCUGGAAAACAAAUUUUGACAACAUAUUUUAGUAUUUUCAUAAACAAAUUGUGUUUAGGAACUAAAUUGAGGAAAAUAGUUUUUAUUCUAAAAAAAAAAAUGUUUGGUUGAGUUAAUAAAAAGUUUUUUAAAAUAAGUAAAACAAAAAACAUGUUUCAAUGUAGUUUUUUUUUAAUUAAUAAAAUAUUUUAUUCCAUUAACUUGAUAUUAUAAAUAUAUAAAUAAUUUUUAUAUGCACAAUUAAUUUAAAUUAAAAAAAAUAUUCUAUUUUGAAAUUUUUACACAAAUUAUAAUUUUUUUAAACAAAUCAUAACUUUGUAACCAUGUGUAAGUAUAUUAAUUUUAAUAAUUUAAGAAAGAAGAAAGGGCUUGUGGGUGGGAGUGUGGUGGUUGAGUGUAGCUCACUUCUGUGGAAACACAAAAAGCAAUUAGGAAAACAUAGAAAGAAGAAAGAGAAAACACAGAGAGCCAUCUAUUAUUUAAACAAUGAAAAAACAAUAAAAAAUAUAUUUUUAUUAUUAUAAAACAAUGGUUUUUGAGAAUAAGAAAAAUGCAAAAAACAAAAACAUACCCCAUUCUCAAACAUGUUUUUAGUGUUUUCUGUUUUCAAGAAUGUAAAACAAUUAUUGAAAACAACAACCAAACAGACCCUUAAUAUUUGGUUUUGGAAAAAAUUAGAAACAUAAAUAUAUAAAUUAAUAAAGAAUGAGUUGAUAUUAAUAAUGCAUCAAGUUUGUAGCCGGAUUAAAUGUUCUUCCUUAAUCUAUUUACAAACAUAAAAUUUAGGAUAGGAGAAUAGAAAAUAUGAGGAUCACGAAAAAAGGGUUAUUUUGUUUUUUUUUAUUUUUCGAAUGAGAAGACGAGGGAAGUUUUAUGGAUCCUUUCCUUCUAAACUAUGAUUAAAUUUAUUGAGAUGAGUAACGUUUGAGAUAAGAAAAGAAUUAAAAACAAAAGGGGAAAGAAAAGAAAAGAAAAAGGAAACCAUAUCAUAUGAAUUCCGAAAUGAAGUAAACAUUCUUAUCCACUUAUAGCAUAAAAACAUGAUCAUGAACAAACAUGAGACAUUAGAAAAUUUGUCUAAAUAUGUAAAAAAAAAAAAAAAAAAAAAAAGGAAAAAAGUAGAAUAACUGAGAGAACAUGAGAGAAGAAGGUAGUGGGGGGUGGGAGAAGAAAAAUGAGCAAUUUCUCUACCAUCCUCUCAUUUCUUCCACCAUAUAUAUAAUGAAGUAGGGAGUGAACAUAUGUUGAAUGUUUUCAUCACCCCACAACAACCCCUCCCACCACUCUGAUUCCCCUUUAAUUAUCUUUAAACUAUUUCUUGCACGGUUUGAAUCUAGUGACAGCUUCCUUAGGAGUACCUUAUUAGCUAUAGAGGGUUGUUUUGCUGCAAAGGGUCGUUUGUACAUACUAGUUAAGGCAAUCAUGAGGGACGUCUAUAUAUAUAUAUACACACACAUUGAAAGCAACCGGUUCUGAUAAGGUUAACCUAAUUGCAUCAAGGGCUUUGGGAUCCAUCAAAUUCCAUUUUGUUUCAUCCAUUGAAUCUUGCUUCUCUCCUAACAACAAAUACAAAUCUUUUUGGUAUAGAUAAUCCUUCAUGUGCAUCUUCCAUAAAUCAAAAUUUGUAUCAUCAAAUUUCUUGAUUUUGUAUGAUCCCAUUAUUUCUACUAAAAUUGUAAUUGGUCAAACACAUCAAGCUUAGGGUUUGUGAACCUUGCUUUGAUACCCGUUGUCAACCAAACAAUGCAUACACACAAGCGGAAAUAAAACAAAAAAAUGAGAUUUUUAAUGUGGUUCAACAAUCAAUGCGAUCUCUACAUCCAUGGGGUGCAUCACAUUAAAAAAUCCACUAAUCAAAGGAAAGAGGAGUAUAAUGAUGAAACUCUAAAAAAACUCUUUUCAUUUGCAAUCAUGCUCUCUAAAAAAACCUUAAAAAUAUAACAUGGUUAAAUAUACAAUGGGGGCAAAUUCGUCAUUCAUCACAUGCAAUGGGAGCUCAACCCCCAACAUCUUGAGUAAAGCACAAUAAAAUUGAUUUAGACUUCACAAUUCAAUAACAAUAGCUUACUUGAUGAUGCUAUCUCAUCUUGUUUUUUAUAUCUUUCAAUAUUCCAAGAGGAUUUUCAAAUUUUGAAUGAUACACUUAUAGACCUUUGGAUUGGAGAAGGUUUUCUGGAUGAAUUUGCAGCUUACAUGAAGCCCAUGAGCAGGGAUAUUGAAUCAUUGGAAGUCUAAAGUUUGCAUGUCUAUUUGAGGAAGGUCAACUUGAAUAUCAUAUCAAGAUGCAUGAUGUGAUUCAUGACAAGCGUUAUGGAUAGCUUCUGAAUAUGGUGGAAAGAAGAAUGAAAUCUUGGUACAAGAAGGCAUCAUUUUGAGUGCUGCUGAAGUCACAAAAUCGAAGGAGGCACAUAGAAUGUUGAUAUGGGAUAACAGUUUUGAACUCACUGCACGCACCCCAUUUUCCCAAUCUCCUUACUCUAAUCGUGAAAUCCGAUGUACAAGAGAUAAUAUUUCCCACUGGAUUCUUUCCGUUCAUGCCAAUUAUGAAAGUUUUGGACUUAUCCCAUUCUUAUCUAACUAAGCUACCUGUGGGAAUAGGUAAAUUAGUUAGUUUACACUACCUUAAUUUGUCAAAGACAUGUAUAAUUGAAUUGCCGAUGGACCUCAAAGAUUUGACAAAUCUAAGGUGUUUGAUACUGGAUUCUACUUACUCAGAAUAAUUCCUUCCCAGCUGAUAUCAAAGCUUUCGUCAUUGCAAUUAUUUAGUAUGUGCAUUGACGACAGUUUUUCUUAUAUUGGGGGUGAACACCUAGUAGGCGAGUUGGAUUGCUAGGAACACAGAUGAGAUUUCCAUCACCACACCUAGUCUUCUAUCCAUUCAAAAGUUAAUCAAUGAGCUCUUGGAAGUUGCAGAUGGGGAUAAGAUUAUGGUAAAUUGUAAUGGAACCCUUUAUGAGAGGGACUAUAACCCAAGAAAAUGCAAGGAAUGCUGCGGGGAGAAAGUUUGUUAGGCAUAUAAUCACGCAAGCAAGGAUAAACACGACAACCAAAAGGAUGAAAAUUCUCAUAAUGUGGAGAGUAGCCGUAUAAAAGUUCAAAGGGUGACUUACCACCAAGAAGUGGAGUGGGCAACCGGUUGAUGAUAUAAGUUGCAGUGCUGAAAGCGUCAACCCAGAAACGAGGAGAAAGGUGGGAGUGGAAGAGGAGGGUCAAGCCAGUCUCAGUCACAUGACGAUGUUUUCUCUCAGCACGACCAUUUUGAGCAGGUGUAUAUGGACAAGAGAGUUGAUGAUGUAUGCCAGAAGUACGUAAGUGAGCUUUGAAGCAAGUAUUAGUAAAUUCAGCACCUCCAUCACUUUGAAAAACCUUGAUACGAGCGAAAUGUUGGUUUUCCACAAAUUUUUUAAAUUGAAGAAAAAUAUCAAAGAAAUCAGAUUUAAAUUUCAAAGGAUAAAGCCAAGUAAAUCGGGAAUAAUCAUCAAUAAAAAUAACAUAGUAAAGAAAACCGGAAUUUGAUUUGAUGGGGGAAGGACCCGGAAGAUCACAAUGAAUAAGAUCUAACACAUGAGACGACCUAUGUUCAUUUCGGGAAUAAGGUAAUCGAUGAUUUUUCGCAAGUUGACAAGUACUACAUAGUGAGGGAGAAGGCAAUAAAGACAUAAGAGAAAGAUGUCCUUUUUUAUGUAAAAAAGAAAUUACAAAAUAAUUCACAUGACCUAGGCGAGCAUGCCAUAAAUCAUAUGAAGCACGUAGAGAUUUAUUUUUAAGGACAGAAAUAAAGGCAGAGUUGCCGCGCUCCAACACAUAUAACCCUCCAUCUCUUUUACCGGUCGCCACCACCCUUCCUGUUUGACGAUUCUGGACAGUAAAAAGAUUAUUAGUAAAUGUAACGGAGAGAGGAAAAUCAGACGUUAAUUUACUAAUGGAAAGAAGAUUUUUUAUGAGAUGAGGGACAACCAAUACAUCUAAUAAGUGAAUAUUUGGAACAGAAGAAAGAGUACCAGUGUGGGUAAUGGGUAGAGAGGCACCGUUUCCUACGAUCACAGAGUCCUUACCCAUGUAAUUUUUGGACUGAUCCAAAAUAGAUGGAUCGGUGGUCAUAUGAGCCGAAGCUCCGGUGUCCAAAAACCAGUCAGCAGCCUCGGGUCCAGAAAGAGAACAAGAUGUGUUGAAGGCCUCGGCAAGAUGAGCAGAGGAAUCAGUCCGAGCAUACCGUUGGUUGCAACGGUCAGCAUAAUGGCCCUCUAUGCGAGAAAUUUGGCAGCGAGGUGGUCGACGACCAUGACCAGAGUAGGUUCGUCCUCGGUUGGAAGAGUUGUUGUUGUGGGAAUGAGAACGACCUCGCUGGUUGUUACGGAAAGCAAAUGGAGUUCCAUGGGAAGUGGUGCGACUGCGAUUAGUGGCUGUGAAUGCCGCAGUGGUGGGUUCAGAAGACUCAAGGGAUCGCUGGAACAACUCAAAACUUUCAGCUUUAGAAACUAGAUCUGCAAAAUAGGGGAGAGGGGUGAGAGACAUUUGAGCUGUAGAAAAAUUGGAAAAAUCGGGGCCGAGUCCACGAAGGAACUAGUGCACUUUGUCAGUGUCCUCGACGGGUCUUCCAAUGGCAUGAAGCUGGUCACAAAGUGUUUUGAAGGUACGGGCAUACUCAGCAACGGGUUUGGUGCCGCGUUUCAUCAGCUGCAAGUCAUCCUUGAGUUGUAGUUAACGGGCUUUCGAAUGAUGGCUGAAUGUAUUCUCCAAUGCGAGCCAAACUUCACGGGCAAUGGAGAGACCAACAACGACAGCAAUGGCUUCCUCGGUGAGAGAGGAGAGCAAGAGACAGAGCAGCCGUUGAUCAGCUGCUUUCCAUGCCAGAUAUUUGGUGCUGAGUGUGGUAGAAGUUUCUGGUUCAAAACGGGGUGGUGGAACAAGAGUUCCAUCAACGUAGGCCAACAGGUCUUGACUCUCAAGGAGAGGAAGAAGUUGGCUUUUCCAGAGAAGAUAAUUGGAGGAAGAAAGCUUGAUGGUGAUCAUGUGGAUUAGAGUGUUGAAAGGAAGAAGAUGAGAGGAUUCAGAAGCCAUGGAGAAAAAUGGAUUGGGGUUGCUAAACCAGAUUGGCUCUGAUACCAUAAGAAUAUUUGUCAAACCACCACACUUGAGAAGGUGGUGAGAGUUUUUUAUUUAUAAUUAUUUACAGAAUAUUACAAAUCAAAUAAUAUCAAACUGAUUACAAAAGAAAUGGAAAGUAGGAAAUAAUAUCAAACUAAUUACAAAGGAAUAGCAUGUAAUCAAGGAUCAAAUAUGAUACAUAUGGUAAAUUGUAAUGGAAAGGCUAAGUAUCCUUAACAAAGAUGGCUAUUAAUCGGAUGCUGUGAAGGUUUGACCACACUCAAACUGUCAUCUUCACUACAAAGAAUGGAGAAUUUAAGUACGGUGUUUUGUAGUACUUUGGAAAAGAUAAAAGUAGAUCUGGGAAAUGAAGGGAGGGAGGGGCCCGUACCAGAUAAUAUCAGAUACUCGAAGUUCCACAACCUUCUCAGGUAACCAUUGAAUUUUCCCAGAGUUGUUGGACUUGACAUGGCUUAUUUAUGCCCCAAGCCUACAGGAGCUUUAUGUGCAAGAGUGCUCAUCAAUGGAGCGAGUUAUGCAUGAUGACCAUGAAGUUUCAGAUAAGAAAAGCAUAUUCUCUAGACUCACAGCUUUAUGUUUGAGGAAUCUACCAAAUCUAAAGAGAAUCUAAGGGUGGGCCUUGGCAUUUCCUUCCCCGAAAGAGGUUCAUGUGACAGGCUGCCCAAAUCUGAGGAAGCUGCCAUUGGAUUCCAACAGCUCAACCAGUACCUUAAAGCAAAUUACAGGGGAAUCAAGCUGGUGGGAGGGAUUGCGGUGGGAGGAUGAAUCCUUAAACCAAACUUUCACUCUGUCUAUUGUAUUUGACGUUUGAUCUGGCCUAACGGCAUGGUGAUUGAAGAAGGAAGAUGGCGGAGAAGCGGCACCUAGAGUCAUAUAUAUAUCACGGAGUGAUCAUGGUCCCUGACGCCCAGUUACUCUCUUCGGAAAUGCUCUUCCUAGAUGGAUGUUAUUAUGCAUGUGUGUUUCAUCAUCUUUGUUUACGAAUUAAGACAAAUGUUAUUACUGUCUUCUUUGAACAGUUCUUUCACUAGCACGGGUUAACCUUCUAACUCACUCAACCUGCACAAGUCAGUGUCCUACUCCAUAACAUAACAUUAUUUUCAACAUUUGUCAUAAAUCGAUACCAAAUCUUUACAUUUUUAGGGAGGCAAACAGGUUGCACCUUUCAUCAUAAAAAACAGGACGAGCAUAAGGAGAAAUUACAGAGAAAAUACAAAACUCAAUUAAUAUCCAUGAUACAACAAGUGUAUAGAAGAACGUAUUUAAGUCUUUCUUUAGCAACCUCAAUCUCUAAGCUGGACAACUUCUUAUGUAUUUGUAAUUUUGUAACACUACUCGUCUUCCAUGGAAGCAUAGUUUCGGAUCACACCAUCCAAAGAAGCCACAUGAAAAGCUAGUCUUCCAUUUAGGACAACCACAUGAUCUUCUUCGAUUAUUAGCAAACGUCCAAGAUGUCUUAAAUUGAGCUGUCAAACCACAGUUGCAGAUUAUGUUCCAAUAUCAAUCACACAAAUUUCCAGUUAUUUUAAACGUGAUAUCUAUUAAUUGCAAAAUACGAUAACCUUUGAAAUCAACAUAUGGCAAACAUCCUAAAACCCACCGCACUAAAAUCCAUGAAACCUACAAAAUCCAUAAAAAAAUUGAAACGUAAGAACUUACCUUCACAGUUUGAGGUCACAGCAUGAGAAAGAGGGGACGAAAUUCCAUAGUGAGGUCCCAUUAUCACAAGAGGAAUUAUUUAGUGCCAUAAGCAUAUAAAAGAAUCUCGUCUUUCAUUGCUUAAGAAUAUUGAUAGACUAAAAAUAAGAAUGAAGAUGUAUAUAAUGCUGGAGAAAGCAACCUUUUAGUAUAGUAGUAUUCUAUAUAUAAGUGAAAUAUCAGAGUGAUUAUUCUCCUUUAAAAAGAAUCUUAUCCCAAUCAAACCACCUUUUUUUUACCUUAUCGGAUACUCAUUAAGAAGGAGAGUACUUCCGGUUCAAGGCUUUGACUUCAUACUCGCUUACACCCACGCCCUUAGACCCCUAAAAAGGCACUUAAGACUGCUUAGAAGGAAUUAGCAUUCGGUAUAAAGGAAAGGGAUAAAAAUAUACUUCUUACCUUUCAACUCCUGGCACUAGGGGGAACUACAGGUAGUGGUAUGAAGAUUAAGACUAGUUAGUAUACUGGUACACUCUGAUAAUUGAUCCCUGGAUUCCUGCAAUGAGAAUGAUUAUAAUGAUUAUGUGACCAAGUUUUUAGGCUGAUAUCAAUCUAAGACUCUUCUUUGUCAUAUGUAUUCUACUGGUUGUAAUUUUUUUACUUUCAUAUAUGAGUUUUUUUUUUCCUUUUGAUCCAAAAUCAUAACUUCUUUCUUUCUCCAUAACUCAGAAGCAAAGAAAGAAACUAUCCAUGUGAGGCUUUAUAGAGGUGAGUGGCACGCGACUUUGUUCCAUUAGCAUUUGACAAAAAGAAUUAUAAAAUUCUUAUCCACUUCGUUGAGAAAAGCAUCAACGAUGACCAAAUUUCAGAAAUUUGAAAUUGGUCGCUCCCACACAAAAAAGAGAAGGAGAGAGAGAGAGAGAGAGGAAAGGAAAGGAAAGUACCUAUAAGAUCAUGGAAGAGAAAGGUUAAUCUUGGAAGUAGUGAUUGAAAGUGUUCUUAAUGGUUUCAUUCUCCCACUGCAGCCUAUCCCACCACCAUCUUCUUCCUUUAAUUGUCUUCAAGCUGUAGGUGUCACUGUUGGAAUCCAACGGCAGCUUCCUUAGGAAUGGGCAAUGUUCCACCGAGAGGUCUGUCAGGGAAGUGAAUGGCAAGGCCCGUCCACAGAUGCUCUUUAGAUUAGGUAGAUAAUCCAAUUUGAGUACCCUGAGUCUUGAGAAUAUGCUCAGAUUUUGUGAAACUCCAGUCUCAUCUCGGAUCACUUCUUUCAUGGAAUAACAGUCAGUUACUUCAAGAACUUCAACGCUUGGGAUGUAAAUAAGCCAUGUCAAGUUUAACAAGUUUGGGAGUUGAUAAAUAAUUAUAUUACAAAGGCUGUGGAAGUUUGAGCCUGGGAUAUAAUCUACCACAAAUCCCCGUCUCCUCUCUUGUGUUGGAUCUACUUUUAUCUCUUCCAAAUCUCGACAUAUCCGUAUUUCAAGCGUCUGUAGAUGUUUCAUUCUUGGCAAGUGGAGUAAGGCCACACACUCCAGGUUCCCAAGGGUUAACCACUUCAUGGCAUUCUGUAGCUUUUGGGAGCUCAAUAAUAUUUGGAAAGAUGGAGCACCUUCUAUGGGAAAAGAGACCUCAUUUAUGUGUACCAAGGAUUCCAUCUCCUCUAAUAAUGCUCUGUUUUCAUCCUCCCAUAAAUACCUAGGUUUAUAAUCAUAAUCCUUGGCUUCCAACUCCUCGAAUAAAGCAUGACAAUCCUUUGAUAAAUAAUAAGCUUUCAACUCCUCAAAGAAUGCUUUAUUAUCAAAAUCAACUUUAUUAUUCUCCCAUGAAUCAUUAGCAUCCUCCAGGUUGAAUGAAUAAUGGGCUUCCUCUUCCUUCCAUUCAUGAACUCUUCUUAAGCUAAAUAAUUUCAAUGAUGAGAGAUUUAAUACUACUUCCUUGGGAAUUAUCUUAAGACAUGCCAUCCAAUCCAAUAGUAGACACCUUAGACUUGUCAAAGACUUGAGCUCCAUGGAUAAUUGGCUUAGGUUUGUUUUUGACAAAUUGAGAUAUUGUAAGGUAACUAAUUUGCCAAACCCAUCAGGUAACCGACUUAUGGAAGUGUGUGACAAAUCCAAAACUUUUAUUGCCGGCAGCAUGAGAUGAAAGAAUCCACUUGGAUCUACUUUCACAUUCUUAACAACGAAGGUUAAGAGAUUGGGAUAAGUUGUUGGCACCAUGAGGUAUUUCAUGCUAUUACUCCACAAUGAUAUCUGUUGCGUCUCUUGCCAAUUUGAAACUUGAUGGGCUUCCAAGGUAUCAUCUUCUACUACCAAAAUUUUGUUCUUGUUGCCACUAUAUUCUGAAGCUAACCAUAAAGCCAUAUCACGAAUAACAUCAUGCAUCUUGACUUGAUUGUCUUUAACACUCUCAAAUAGACACACUACCUUUAGAUGCUCAAUGAUGUUGCGCCCCUGGUUCUGUGCUUCAUGUAUGUUGUCAAAUUCAUCGAAAAACCCCUCUCCAAUCCAAAGGUUUAUAAGAUCAUCAUUCAUGAUUUCAUAAUCCUCUUGAAAUAUAGCAAGAUAUAGAAAACAAGACUUGAUGGUGUCAUUUUUCAAGUUAUCAUAACUGAAUUUUAGAAUCGGAAAUACAUGAUCUCCCAAACCUGAAAACUUUGAUGGAUAAGUCUUCAACAUUUGUAUGGCUCGCUCCCAUUCUUGUGGUGUGCUCUUGCCGACCAUAGCUCUCCCAAUAGUGAUGAGUGCAAGUGGUAAACCUUUGCACUCUUUAGCAGCAAUUUCGGCAAACUGGGGUAUAUCUGGAUGUGAAUUUAGAGUGGUCUCUCCAACCUUCUCCUUGAACAAAUUGAUGGCCUCCUCUUCUGUCAAACACUCAACCUUAAUGCUUUUUUGAGCUUCCAUAUCGCGACAAACAUCCAGAGAACGGGUUGUUAAUAUUACUUUGGACUUGUUUUGGGAAUUAGGAUAAGGAACCCCCACUUUUUGGAGAUCAAGCCGCUCCCAUACAUCAUCUAGCAGCAUCACAAACCUUUUUGCCUUCAAGACAUUGAAAAU
rnacentral:lncRNA from 1 species